CUCAGGUGCGAAAGCGUGGGGAGCAAACAGGAUUAGAUACCCUGGUAGUCCACGCUGUAAACGAUGUCGACUUGGAGGUUGUGCCCUUGAGGCGUGGCUUCCGGAGCUAACGCGUUAAGUCGACCGCCUGGGGAGUACGGCCGCAAGGUUAAAACUCAAAUGAAUUGACGGGGGCCCGCACAAGCGGUGGAGCAUGUGGUUUAAUUCGAUGCAACGCGAAGAACCUUACCUACUCUUGACAUCCACGGAAUUUAGCAGAGAUGCUUUAGUGCCUUCGGGAAC
rnacentral:rRNA from 1 species